GCACUGUUCUACACCAGCGUGGAACAAGGGACAGGAGGAAAUGGAGACAUGAUAGUAGAUGCCGGCUUAUUUCGUUGAAUCAAACUAGAUCUAGAACCAAUUGACAUUCUGUGGACAUCAAAGAGACUAUACCUUCAACCCGAGGUCGUUCUCAAAUGGAUACGUUAAAACAAGGCAUCAGACAGACCCUAUUUACACCCCAAGGACGUUGUCGAAUGGACAUGUUCUGCUACGUACUGUUUCUAACAGCUUACAGUGUACUAUUGGUCUCGCAACUAAACCAGACAACGUUUAAUUGGCUGGAGGCUGUGAUUAUGGGCUACCUAGCUAUAUUCUUCAU
rnacentral:sRNA from 1 species